rnacentral:rRNA from 1 species
CAGCAGCCGCGGGAACACGUAGGGUGCGAGCGUUAAUCGGAAUUACUGGGCGUGAAGCGAGCGCAGACGGUUAUUUAAGCAGGAUGUGAAAUCCCCGGGCUUAACCUGGGAACUGCGUUCUGAACUGGAUAGCUAGAGUGUGUCAGAGGGGGGUAGAAUUCCACGUGUAGCAGUGAAAUGCGUAGAGAUGUGGAGGAAUACCGAUGGCGAAGGCAGCCCCCUGGGAUAACACUGACGUUCAUGCUCGAAAGCGUGGGUAGCAAACAGGAUUAGAUACCCCAGUAGUCCCUGUCUCUUAUAC